rnacentral:rRNA from 1 species
CGCCUCUUGCACCCAUAUAAGAGGUCCAGCCUGCCCAGUGACUAAGUUCAACGGCCGCGGUAUCCUAACCGUGCGAAGGUAGCGUAAUCACUUGUUCUUUAAAUGAGGACUAGUAUGAAUGGCACCACGAGGGUUAUGCUGUCUCCUUUUUCUAAUCAAUGAAACUGAUCUCCCCGUGAAGAAGCGGGGAUGUAAAUAUAAGACGAGAAGACCCUAUGGAGCUUUAAACCAUGUAACACUGGCUUCCACAUUACAUCUUUCAGAAUUAUCAUAAUUACUCUAGCCACUAUGAUUACUAGUUUUAGGUUGGGGUGACCACGGAGCAAAAAUUAACCUCCAUGUUGAACGGAGCUUUUCCUGAGCCCUAAGCCACGACUUUAAGCACUAACAAAUUAACAUUAAUUGACCCAAUAUUUUGAUCAACGAACCAAGUUACCCUAGGGAUAACAGCGCA